rnacentral:rRNA from 1 species
AUGGUGCACGAUGGGGAUGGUCCUGCAGCAAGAGGAGGUCGAAUGGCGGAGCAGCAGCAAGACGAAGUGGGGCCAGUGUCGGCCUUGGCGUGGAGCAAGGGAAGCAGAGCUUCUGGAGGCUUGAGGGGCCCCGGACUUCGGGCGUGCGAUGCCACCGGGAGGAGGCGAGACAAGGCGUCGGAGGAAGCUGAGCAGCAGUAA